rnacentral:lncRNA from 1 species
GGGUAGUUGGGGCUGGAGGUGUUGUGUCGGAAUCCCCAGUCGUUAGCGAACGAUCGGAAUUCUGAACUUGAGAACUGCGGACCAUUGUCCGAGUACAGUUCAGACGCAACCCCAUGUCUUACAAAGACUGAUUUCAGGGAGGUGAUUACAGCUUUGCUGGAGGUAGUUGGCAGUAUUGCUACUUCAGGGUAGUUUGAGUAGUAGUCGGUAGCAGCAAUGUGACUUUUGCCAUUGCAGUCAAAAAGGUCAACUCCAACUUUGUAGUAGGGUCUGUUGGGUACUGGAUGAGGCAUUAGCGGCUCUGCUUGCUGCUUUGGCCUGUAGGUCAAACACAGUUCACAUGAAGCAGUGGUCUGGCUGAUUUCCUGGUUCAUUCUUGGCCAGUACAUUACUUCUCGUGCUCGUCGUUUGCAUUUUUCCUCAACCAAGUAGCCCUCGUGUAUUUUCUGGAGCAUUUAUUUGUGUAGUGUUAUGGGAAUGACAAUCUUGUUGCCUUUGAACACUAUGUCAUCCACAACGGUGAGCUCUGCUCUGCACAUCCAGUAAUCCUGUAUUCUCCUUGGACAGUUGUUUUUCUGUGCGGGCCAUCCUAUCAGUGUUGUUUCUUUCAACUCUGUCAUUGUUUGGUCAGCUGCAGUCUCUCUUUUGAUCUGCUCCAUUCUCUCAGAAGACACAGGAAGUGAUGCUACGAUCAUGUCGACGUAGGCCUGAAUCUCAGUGUUUUUCUGUGUGUCGAAGCUCUCUUUCUUGUCGACUGCUCGAGAAAGAGUGUCGGCGGCGAACAUGAACUUUCCCGGGGUAUAGAUCAUCUUCAUCUUUGUUGAUCAUACUUUUGCAGUCUGAUCAACAUUCUCUAGAUUCUCAUUGGACAAUCAUUCAGUGGUUUAGACAUGAUUGACACCAAUGGUUUGUGGACGGUUUCUACUUCGAAGUCUCGUCCGUAGACGUAUUGGUGAAACCGGGUUGCCAUGUGUCAUCAUGCUGUUGCAGAAGAACUGCACCCAGGCCAAACUGCAGAAAUCAUUGUGCUUUUCUCUGGAUCAUACAACCUGAGCACUGGCUCUUCUGUGAUUGUCUUCUUUAGGUUUUUGAAGCAGUUUUCCUGUUCAUGGGACCAUUCCCAUUCCUUCUUCUGUUCCAGAAGACAUCUGAGUGGAGCAGACUGUGCUGACAGUUGAGGUAUGAACUUUGCAAGGUAGGUGAUCAUGCCCAUGAAGCAUCUCACGUCGUCCUUGUUCUUCGGGCGCUCCAUGUUGUUGAUGGCUGAUGUUUUCCUCGGGUCUGGUUUGACUCCAUCCUCUGAAAGUACGUCACCCACGAAGGUAAGUGUUUUCUCACCAAACUCGCAUUUGUCCUUGUUUAGUUUUAGGUUGACUUUCCGUGUCAGGUCCAGCACUUGUCUCACUCUAGCGUCGUGUUAUUAUUUUGUGGACCCCCAGAUGAUGUGUCAUCCAUCAUAGUCUCCACUCCUGGAAUGUGCUCGAAGAUCAUGUGGAUUGUCUUGUGGUAGACCUCUGGCGCUGAGAGAAUCCCAUAUGGUAGACGAAGAAAUCUGUACCUGCCCUCAGAUCCUACUAUGACAACAACUACACAAGGAACUACUGGGCUACCAACAACUACACAACCAAGAUACAGCAGAUGGCGAGAGAGGACUAGAACAUGGGACUGACUGAUCCUGCCGUGCCACAUGAAGAAAGAGCUGAGGGACAAGGGGAUGUCUGAUGAUGUCAAACUGAGAUGGAAGGAGCAGCUCCAUAGAUAGAUCUUGCACAAGGAAGAAAACGAGAAAACGAGAGAAGAAACUGUUCAGAGUAUAAAGGAUGAACUGUAAAUACUAUACUGAACAAAAAAAUAAACGCAACAUGCAAC